GGCACUAUGGCCGAGUGGUUAAGGCGACAGAUUUGAAUUUAGAACCCUGGUUCUUGCAUUAUCUGUUGGGAUCUCCCGCGCAGGUUCGAACCCUGCUGGUGUCG